CAUAGCUUUAAGUUAAGUAAACUGUAAACCUUCAAAGUUUGAUAUGAGCAUUGUGUUCAAGCUAUC
rnacentral:tRNA from 1 species